ensembl:snRNA U6 U6 spliceosomal RNA
GUGCUCGCCUUGGCAGCACCUAUACUAAAAUUGGAACAGUGCAGAGAAGAUUAGCAUGGCCUCCGAGCAAGGAUGACAUGCAGAUUAAUGAAGCAGGUCCGAUUUCU